CGGCGCACGGGUGAGUAACACGUAUCCAACCUGCCGUCUACUCUUGGACAGCCUUCUGAAAGGAAGAUUAAUACAAGAUGGCAUCAUGAGUCCGCAUGUUCACAUGAUUAAAGGUAUUCCGGUAGACGAUGGGGAUGCGUUCCAUUAGAUAGUAGGCGGGGUAACGGCCCACCUAGUCUUCGAUGGAUAGGGGUUCUGAGAGGAAGGUCCCCCACAUUGGAACUGAGACACGGUCCAAACUCCUACGGGAGGCAGCAGUGAGGAAUAUUGGUCAAUGGGCGAGAGCCUGAACCAGCCAAGUAGCGUGAAGGAUGACUGCCCUAUGGGUUGUAAACUUCUUUUAUAAAGGAAUAAAGUCGGGUAUGCAUACCCGUUUGCAUGUACUUUAUGAAUAAGGAUCGGCUAACUCCGUGCCAGCAGCCGCGGUAAUACGGAGGAUCCGAGCGUUAUCCGGAUUUUAUUGGGUUUAAAGGGAGCGUAGAUGGAUGUUUAAGUCAGUUGUGAAAGUUUGCGGCUCAACCGUAAAAUUGCAGUUGAUACUGGAUAUCUUGAGUGCAGUUGAGGCAGGCGGAAUUCGUGGUGUAGCGGUGAAAUGCUUAGAUAUCACGAAGAACUCCGAUUGCGAAGGCAGCCUGCU
rnacentral:rRNA from 1 species